rnacentral:rRNA from 1 species
UUAAAAUGAGAGUUUGAUCCUGGCUCAGGAUAAACGCUGGCGGCAUGCCUAAUACAUGCAAGUCGAACGGGGGUGUUUGCACCUCAGUGGCGAACGGGUGAGUAACACGUAUCUAACCUACCUUAUAGCGGGGGAUAACUUUUGGAAACGAAAGAUAAUACCGCAUGUAGAUCU